UUAGCGGCGGACGGGUGAGUAACACGUGGGUAACCUGCCCAUAAGACUGGGAUAACUCCGGGAAACCGGGGCUAAUACCGGAUAACAUUUUGAACNGCAUGGUUCGAAAUUGAAAGGCGGCUUCGGCUGUCACUUAUGGAUGGACCCGCGUCGCAUUAGCUAGUUGGUGAGGUAACGGCUCACCAAGGCAACGAUGCGUAGCCGACCUGAGAGGGUGAUCGGCCACACUGGGACUGAGACACGGCCCAGACUCCUACGGGAGGCAGCAGUAGGGAAUCUUCCGCAAUGGACGAAAGUCUGACGGAGCAACGCCGCGUGAGUGAUGAAGGCUUUCGGGUCGUAAAACUCUGUUGUUAGGGAAGAACAAGUGCUAGUUGAAUAAGCUGGCACCUUGACGGUACCUAACCAGAAAGCCACGGCUAACUACGUGCCANCAGCCGCGGUAAUACGUAGGUGGCAAGCGUUAUCCGGAAUUAUUGGGCGUAAAGCGCGCGCAGGUGGUUUCUUAAGUCUGAUGUGAAAGCCACGGCUCAACCGUGGAGGGUCAUUGGAAACUGGGAGACUUG
rnacentral:rRNA from 1 species